AGCCUGAACGCUGGCGGCGUGGCUAAGACAUGCAAGUCGUACGGUGUAGCAAUACACAGUGGCGAACGGGUGAGUAAUGAAUCGCUAAUGUACCCCGGACUCUGGGAUAGCUGACCGAAAGGGCAGGUAAUACCAGAUGACAUAACCGAACCGCAUGGUUUGGUUCUCAAAGGUCCGCCGGUCUGGGUGCAGGCGAUUUUGUAUCAGCUAGUUGGUGAGGUAACGGCUCACCAAGGCGACGACGCAUAGCCGGACUGAGAGGUUGGCCGGCCACAUUGGGACUGAGACACUGCCCAGACUCCUACGGGGGGCUGCAGUAACGAAUCUUCCGCAAUGCACGAAAGUGUGACGGAGCGACGCCGCGUGUGGGACAAGUCCUCGGGAUGUAAACCACUGUCAGGGGUAAGAAAGUUCUGAUCUACCCCGAGAGGAAGGCACGGCUAACUCUGCGCCAGCAGCCGCGGUA
rnacentral:rRNA from 1 species